rnacentral:rRNA from 1 species
GGAGGGUGCAAGCGUUGUUCGGAAUCACUGGGCGUAAAGAGCACGUAGGCUGAUUUAUAAGCCAGCUGUGAAAGCCCGGGAGCUUAACUCCGGAAUUGCAGUUGGAACUGUAAACCUUGAAUGUCUGAGAGGGUGGGGGAAUUCCUGGUGUAGAAGUGAAAUUCGUAGAUAUCAGGAGGAACACCUGAGGCGAAGGCGCCUACCUGGCAGUGCAUUGACGCUGAGGUGCGAAAGCGUGGGUAGCAAACAGGAUUAGAUACCCUGGUGGUCCACGCCGUAAACGAUGAAUACUAGGUGUCUGGAGAGUUUAACCCUUCAGGUACCAAAGCUAACGCAUUAAGUAUUCCGCCUGGGGACUACGGUCGCAAGGCUA